rnacentral:rRNA from 1 species
GAGUCGGACCUGCCCAGUGAAUAAUUUUUUAACGGCCGCGGUACUCUGACCGUGCAAAGGUAGCAUAAUCAUUUGCCCUAUAAUUGAGGGCUAGUAUGAAUGGUUUGACGUGAACAAGACUGUCUCUGCAUGAUUUUUUAGAACUUGAUUUCUAGGUGAAGAAACCUAGAUACUAUUGAUAGACAAGAAGACCCUAUUGAGCUUUAAAAAAAUAGGUUGAAAACAAUAUAUAUGAAUCAUAGAUAUUAGUCUACCUAAAAUUUUGGUUGGGGCGACUAUGGAACAAACAAAGCUUCUUUACACUUAUAAGACUGACAAGUUUUGAUCCAAGCAUUUUGAUCAAUGAAAUUAGUUACCAUAGGGAUAACAGCAUAAUUCUCUUUGAGAGCUCUUAUCGAAAAGAGAGUUUGUGACCUCGAUGUUGGACUAGAAUAUCCUAAAGAUGCAGCAGUCUUUAAGGGUUGGUC